rnacentral:tRNA from 1 species
GGGAAUGUGGCUUAGUGGUAGAGUGCUUGCCUUGCAUGCAUGAAGCCCUGGGUUCAAGUUCUUAGUAUCA